rnacentral:rRNA from 1 species
GAUGAACGCUGGCGGCGUGCCUAAUACAUGCAAGUCGAGCGAACGGACGAGAAGCUUGCUUCUCUGAUGUUAGCGGCGGACGGGUGAGUAACACGUGGAUAACCUACCUAUAAGACUGGGAUAACUUCGGGAAACCGUAGCUAAUACCGGAUAAUAUUUUGAACCGCAUGGUUCAAAAGUGCAAGACGGCCUUGCUGUCCCUUAUAGAUGGAUCCGCGCUGCAUUAGCUAGUUGGUAAGGUAACGGCUUACCAAGGCAACGAUGCAUAGCCGACCUGAGAGGGUGAUCGGCCACACUGGAACUGAGACACGGUCCAGACUCCUACGGGAGGCAGCAGUAGGGAAUCUUCCGCAAUGGGCGAAAGCCUGACGGAGCAACGCCGCGUGAGUGAUGAAGGUCUUCGGAUCGUAAAACUCUGUUAUUAGGGAAGAACAUAUGUGUAAGUAACUGUGCACAUCUUGACGGUACCUAAUCAGAAAGCCACGGCUAACUACGUG